rnacentral:rRNA from 1 species
AUUGAACGCUGGCGGCAUGCUUUACACAUGCAAGUCGAACGGUAACAGGUUAAGCUGACGAGUGGCGAACGGGUGAGUAAUGCAUCGGAACGUGCCCGGCCGUGGGGGAUAACGCAGCGAAAGCUGCGCUAAUACCGCAUACGAUCUGAGGAUGAAAGCGGGGGACCGUAAGGCCUCGCGCGAUCGGAGCGGCCGAUGUCAGAUUAGGUAGUUGGUGGGGGAAAGGCCCACCAAGCCAAGGAUCUGUAGCUGGUCUGUGAGGGCGACCAGCCACACUGGGACUGAGACACGGCCCAGACUCAUACGGGAGGCAGCAGUGGGGAAUAUGGGACAAUGGGCGAAAGCCUGAUCCAGAAAGGCCGCGUGUGUGAAGAAGGCCUGCGGGUUGUAAAGCACUUUUAUCAGGAAAGAAAAGCUCGGGGCUAAUAUCCCCGGGCCUUGACGGUACCUGAUGAAUAAGCACCGGCUAACUCCGUGCCAGCAGCCGCCGUAA